UGGCGUAAGCGCGCGUAGCGGUUUUUUAAGUCUGAUGUGAAAGCCCACGGCUCAACCGGGGAAGUUCAUUGGAAACUGGAAAACUUGAGUGCAGAAGAGGAAAGUGGAAUUCCAUGUGUAGCGGUGAAAUGCGCAGAUAUAUGGAAGAACACCAGUGGCGAAGGCGACUUUCUGGUCUGUAACUGACGCUGAUGUUCGAAAGCGUGGGGAUCAAACAGGAUUAGAUACCC
rnacentral:rRNA from 1 species